AAAGAGCUUCAAAUUUACUUAAAGAUUACGGAGAACGAACUUGUUCCUAUUGACACUAAAUAUCUACCAAAAAUGUGCCCAUGAGACUCUUCCUGUAAUGCCCUUCAUAUUCAAGAUAAGCUAUGAUAUGAAAAGAUAACUGGAAAUUACUACAAAAUUCAAUCUUGAAUAAUUUGAGGUCCACUAAGGCACAACACUUCCAGGUCCAAUAUAGAAGUCAAGUUAAGAAGAGAAAUAAAGGGUGAGAGGAGGGGGAUAAGUAGAAACUAUGAGCAAGCAACUCUGCUGUCAUUCCCAUUGAAUAGCAAAUGCUCACACGUUAUUUUUAACACAAUAAAACAUGUCUGGGCAUGUCAACGCAUGCUUCUAAGUUCUAACUACACCAUUACUCAUCUCCAUAGAGUUCAAUCACUGUCAACAAGUCAGUUUUAAAAUGGUUGGAUCAUUCCAUCUUUCAUUUCCUAAGUUUACCGCUCAUAAACAUUAACUGGAAACCAAAGGGUUUGAUUGAACUAUCCAUAUUUACUUUGGUAGGAAGUGAAGAUCUACACAAGAAAAGUGUAGACCGCUCAUAAACAUUAACUGGAAACCAAAGGAUUUGAUUGAACUAUCCAUAUUUACUUUGGUAGGAAGUGAAGAUCUACACAAGAAAAGUGUAGACUCACUCCUCAAACAGUCAUCAACCAAGUCUUUUCGUUUCACUU
rnacentral:lncRNA from 1 species